GACGGAGGGGGCUAGCGUUGUUCGGAAUUACUGGGCGUAAAGAGCGCGUAGGUGGUUUAAUAAGUUGGGAGUGAAAGCCCGGGGCUCAACCUCGGAACUGCUUCCAAAACUGUUAAGCUAGAGUGUAGUAGGGGAUGAUGGAAUUCCUAGUGUAGAGGUGAAAUUCUUAGAGAUUAGGAGGAACACCGGUGGCGAAAGCGGUCCUCUGGGCUACAACUGACACUGAGGCGCGAAAGCGUGGGGAGCAAACAGG
rnacentral:rRNA from 1 species